rnacentral:pre_miRNA from 1 species
AAUAUACUCCCUCCGUCCGAAAAUACUUGUCGUAGAAAUGGAUAUAAAUGGAUGUAUUUAGAACUAAAAUACAUCUAGAUACAUCCAUUCCUUGGACAAGUAUUUUCGGACGGAGGGGGUAUAUU